GAGGAGAUCACCCAGCUUGUCAUGUUAGAGCACUUUUUCCCCAACGACAAGGCGACAACGCAUUCGUAUGUCAAUCCAUAUCAACUUUCGAUGCCAUUUACUGGGCCUACCAUGGUGACCAUGGGUAAUGGGGAAUCAGGGUUCGAUUCCGUACAGGGACCCUGACAAACAGCUACCACAUGCAAGGAAGGCAGCAGGUGCGCAAAUGACCCACUCUCGACGCGGGGAGAUAGUGAC